GGGCAUGUGGCUCAGUUGGCAGAGCACUUGCCUAGGAUGCAUGAAGCCUUGGGUUCCAUUCCUGGCACCCCA
rnacentral:tRNA from 1 species